GAGGUAACACAGGAGGAGAGAUAUCAUGAUUGAAAGAAGGAAGGGAAGAUGGACCAGCAUCACUAAAAUCAAGAACAGGAGAAUCAGAAGUAAAAUUAGGAACAGGAGAAUCAGGGGAAGCAUGUAUAGGAAAAUCUGUGUCAGGGAAAUGAUCAGCAGGAGGAAUAGAAGGAAAAAAUAAAGGAGAAAGGUGAGCAGAAGUAGGUUUAUUCUUAAAAGGGAAACAAGCUUCAUGGAAGACAACAUCCCUGGAGACAAAACACUUCUUGGAAACCAAAUUAUACAGUUUAUAACCCUUNNNN
rnacentral:lncRNA from 1 species